GUUUCACACGGCAACAUCUUGAUAUGUUUACGUAUUACGGCGUAAUUCCAUAUUUAUUUCGUUUUUGUUGUAUAUUUAGAGGGAAACAGUGUUAUUUCAACAGGCGUUGGUUAGUGUUUCUUUAUUGAUUCAAUUGUGUUCAUGUAUUUCAUAGAUAGUUAGGGGUGUUUGUUGGUUUCUUUGUUUGGAAAUGGAAUGAUUAUAGAUAUAAAUGUAAAGAGUAUAUUGGGGCGGCAGGUAGCCUAGUGGUUAGAGCAUUGGGCCAGUAACCAGCAGGUAGCCUAGUGGUUAGAGCGUUGGGCCAGUAACCAGCAGGUAGCCCAGUGGUUAGAGCGUUGGGCCAGUAACCAGCAGGUAGCCUAGUGGUUAGAGCAUUGGGCCAGUAACCAGCAGGUAGCCUAGUGGUUAGAGCAUUGGGCCAGUAACCAGCAGGUAGCCUAGUGGUUAGAGCGUUGGGACAGUAACCAGCAGGUAGCCUAGUGGUUAGAGCGUUGGACCAGUAACCAGCAGGUAGCCUAGUGGUUAGAGCAUUGGGGUAGUAACCAGCAGGUAGCCUAGUGGUUAGAGCGUUGGGCCAGUAACCAGCAGGUAGCCUAGUGGUUAGAGCAUUGGGCUAGUAACCAGCAGGUAGCCCAGUGGUUAGAGCGUUGGGCCAGUAACCAGCAGGAAGCCUAGUGGUUAGAGCGUUGGGCCAGUAACCAGCAGGUAGCCUAGUGGUUAGAGCGUUGGGCCAGUAAGCAGCAGGUAGCCUAGUGGUUAGAGCAUUGGGGCAGUAACCAGCAGGUAGCCUAGUGGUUAGAGCGUUGGGCCAGUAACCAGCAGGUAGCCUAGUGGUUAGAGCAUUGGGCUAGUAACCAGCAGGUAGCCCAGUGGUUAGAGCGUUGGGCCAGUAACCAGCAGGAAGCCUAGUGGUUAGAGCGUUGGGCCAGUAACCAGCAGGUAGCCUAGUGGUUAGAGCGUUGGGCCAGUAACCAGCAGGUAGCCUAGUGGUUAGAGCAUUGGGGCAGUAACCAGCAGGUAGCCUAGUGGUUAGAGCGUUGGACCCACUGGCUUCCAGUUGAAGCUCACAUCUGCUACAAGAC
rnacentral:lncRNA from 1 species